rnacentral:rRNA from 1 species
AUACGGAGGGUGCAAGCGUUAUUCGGAAUCACUGGGCGUAAAGGACGCGUAGGCGGGUUGGCAAGUCAGAUGUGAAAUCCUACAGCUUAACUGUAGAACUGCAUUUGAAACUGCUAUCCUAGAGUAUGGGAGGGGGAGAUGGAAUUAGUGGUGUAGGGGUAAAAUCCGUAGAUAUCACUAGGAAUACCGAAAGCGAAGGCGAUCUCCUGGAACAUAACUGACGCUAAGGCGUGAAAGCGUGGGGAGCAAACAGGAUUAGAAACCCCUGUAGUCC